GCACCCCAACGGCGCCCUAACUCAGAAUUUCAAGGGCCAGCGCCCUAGUGCAGUUUGUGAGGCAGUUAUCCCAGGUGCUAACCGUACCGAGCGCUGAUUUUCCGGGGAGCUGUACAUCGUAUUUUGCUCUUACUUCUUCCAGGAGGAUUCCAAGGCAACAGAUGCACUGCUUUAGAAGAGGGGAAAAUAGCAGAAAAAGGGAAGGAAACGCAUUCCCAGGGAGCAGUGGGGAGAAAUCUCCAGUGGGAAUUGUACAGAAGGAAGAGGGAUGCUGUGGAUCGACGUGGGUGGUCAGAUGUGCAGGAAUGAGCUCGGAGGGAACACAGCAUGCAGCCGAGCACUGAAGGGUACCGUUGGAAGGCCAGGCUGGGGCCAGGUGACCCAGUGUCCUGAACUCUUGCAGAGAAACCCAAGCUGUCCAGGGAGUGGAGAGGCAAGCACGGUUGUGGCAACGGCAGGAUCCAGCUCGGACCUGGGCUCCAGCUCUGACUCUGACUCUGGCUUGGGCUUGUGCUCCCAUGGCCCUGAUAGGACGAGCUCCCAGAUAAGGAGGGCAGGUACACUCUGGAUCUCCCUCAAGGAUGUGAGUGCAAGGGUGCCCCACACAAUGGCAAGGCUAUGCAGUGAGGCUGCGGCCAGAAGCGUGCUCUACCAAUGGGGCUGCACCUGCUCCAGGCUCCGUGAGUCCUGAUGCACAGACAUCCGGCUGGAUCCCCCAGGGACAGAUGGCACACACAGCGUCUGGCAGCAGACCCAGGCCCGCCAGCUACUCCUGGGCCUCUGGGUCCUCAGGAACCCCCAGGGCUGCACCAGGGUCACCUCCUUGCCCUCGGCUCCUUCCUCUAGGGGGUCAAAUGCCAGUGUUCCUGAGCAAUUUCUACUGUAGGCCUGUCGCACGGGUCCAGGCUGAGCAGCAGACUCAGGAACCCUCCAGGGCUGGGCUGGCCGUACAUGGCAGCUCAUAGCUCCCCAGCUGGAUGCAGUCCCACAACUUGGCCUGGUCCUUCCCAUUGAAGGGCAGGUCCCCUGCCACCAUAGCGAAGAGGAUUACACCGAAACUCUAUAUGUCAGCAGCAAAUGCAGCAUAGGGCUCCCGCUGGAACACCUCCAGGGCGCUGUAUUCUGGAGUCCCACAGAAGCCCUGCAUCAGCGCACCCCUGGGCAGCUGGCAGCUGAGCCCAAAGUCCACCAGCUUCACAUUCAGUUCCGAGUCCAGCAUGAGGUCCCUCUGUACCACCUGCCGAGCAUGGCAGUGGCCCACUGCCGCCAGGAUCAGAUGGAACAUGGCCAUGGAAUGAGGCUCGGGCAAGCCUCUCCGCCUCUGCACCGGCUGCUGACCCAACCCACCUCCAGC